AAAAGCAGGUGCCUGAGCCAGCAGUGGCAACCUGCUGGGGUCCCUGUCCACGCUGUGGAAUAUUUGUUCUUUCCCUCUUUUCAGUAAAUCUUGCUGCUGCUCACUCUUUGGGUCCACACUGCCUUUAUGAGCUGUAACACUCACAGCAAAGGUCUGCAGCUUCACUCCUGAAGCCAGUGAGACCACGAACCAACCAGAAGGAAGAAACUCUGGACACAACAUCUUUAAGAACUGUAACACUCACCGUGAGUGUCCACAGCUUCAUUCUUGAAGUCAGUGAGACCAAGAACCCACCAAUUCCGGACACACUACUACCUGGCUACCACCUAUGUUCACUCAAGGUCCUAGUGCUUUGCAAUCAGUGGGUCACAAAGACAGCCAGAAAAUACAGACUAUUAUGGAGUAGAAACAUUACCUAAACAUCCAUGCAGAGAAAAUGACAACUAAUAUUUGACUAUGUCUUCUGUCUUCUUUCCAGGACAUGAGUGAAGACUUCAGCUCUUACAGUUUGGAUCUUUAGAUGAAUUCUUAAUAUCUCAAUGACAUAAACAAAUUUGAGCCCCAGUUUUAUUGGAAGUGGAAAGCACACCCUACUUGUGAGAUUUGAGGGAAAUAAUGAAAAUAAUUUUUGUUUUAAUUUGGCAAGGCAUCUGAAACUCCAACUGUUACAUGAAAUGCUCUUGACAAAAAAUUCCCUCCAAGGCAGUCAGUGUUAAAACAGUCGCAGUGAUUACAGAACUCUUACACUGGUUUGCCAUAAAAACUAGAAAGCCAUUCCUGGAUCUGGAUAAAUUCUCUGUUCCUCCUUUCUUUAACAUUUGUAAAAGUCCAGUCUUUUAUGCCUGUUUUACGGGCUAUAUUCGCUUGCCUACAGUAGGCAAGUUUAUUAGUUGUAUGCUAUGCACUAGGCACUGUUUAAGCACUUAGGGCGAAAGAGUAUACAACAGAAAGAAAAAUCCCUGCCCUCAUGCAACCUACAUUCUCAUGUAAAGAUAGAGAAAAAUGAGAAAAAUACAUAAAACGUAGUAUGCUGGAUACUAGUAAGAUCUAAGAGGGAAAAAAGUAGAGAUUGGAAACCUGAGGAAAGUAAUUUUAGAUAACAUGACCAGAAAAGAGCUCUUUAAAAAGAUAGUGUUAGAGUAAAUGCCUGAAGAAGGUAAGGGCCUCAACCAUGCAUAAGAGUUGAGGAAGAAUAUUCCAGGAAAAAGGAAGAGCAAAUGUGAAAGCUCUGAGUUAGAGGUGUCCCAGAGUUUUAAGGACCAAUAACUAGGAAGCCAGUGUUGCUGGAUUUGAGCCUAAAGGAUGUACAGUCAGAAUAAAAGUAAUAUAGACAGAAGACAGGGAAAUGCUGGGUAGAAGAGUGUGGUCCCCAGUGAGGGCACCGCCCUCAAGCCGAGACCCACAGCCCAAAGUGAAAACUUUGCAUCCCUGUUUUCCUGCUCCAAUGUUGCCUUUUCCAAAACCACCCUGGCACACCCUGCCCCCCAUCCUGUAUCAAUAAAAUCCCCAGGCCCCACUGGCAGAGCAAUGACAAAGGACAGAAAAGAAGCAGCAGCUUGACGUUGGAGAGAAGCAGCUUGACUUCAGACGGACAGCUUGAUGGUGGGACCUCGGAGAAGAGUCUGGUUGGGGCAGCCAAACUCCUGCCACCUUCCCAUUCCAUUUCCUUUCCAGCUCUCCGUCCUGCUGAAAAUCACUUUCAUUGGCAAUAAAAUCCCCCACGUUUACCAUCUUC